ACUGCUCAGUAACACGUAGUCAACAUGCCCAGGGGACGUGGAUAACCUCGGGAAACUGAGGAUAAACCGCGAUAGGUCAUUUCUUCUGGAAUGGGUAAUGACCCAAAUCUACAUGGCCCCUGGAUUGGACUGCGGCCGAUCAGGCUGUUGGUGAGGUAAUGGCCCACCAAACCUGUAACCGGUACGGGCUCUGAGAGGAGGAGCCCGGAGAUGGGCACUGAGACAAGGGCCCAGGCCCUAUGGGGCGCAGCAGGCGCGAAACCUCUGCAAUAGGCGAAAGCUUGACAGGGUUACUCUGAGUGAUUUCCGUUAAGGAGAUCUUUUGGCACCUCUAAAAAUGGUGCAGAAUAAGGGGUGGGCAAGUCUGGUGUCAGCCGCCGCGGUAAUACCAGCACCCCGAGUGGUCGGGACGUUUAUUGGGCCUAAAGCAUCCGUAGCCGGUUCUACAAGUCUUCCGUUAAAUCCACCUGCUUAACAGAUGGGCUGCGGAAGAUACUAUAGAGCUAGGAGGCGGGAGAGGCAAGCGGUACUCGAUGGGUAGGGGUAAAAUCCGUUGAUCCAUUGAAGACCACCAGUGGCGAAGGCGGCUUGCCAGAACGCGCUCGACGGUGAGGGAUGAAAGCUGGGGGAGCAAACCGGAUUAGAUACCCGGGUAGUCCCAGCUGUAAACGAUGCAGACUCGGUGAUGAGUUGGCUUAUUGCUAACUCAGUGCCGCAGGGAAGCCGUUAAGUUUGCCGCCUGGGGAGUACGGUCGCAAGACUGAAACUUAAAGGAAUUGGCGGGGGAG
rnacentral:rRNA from 1 species